CUUUGCUGGCGACCGGCGCACGGGUGAGUAACACGUAUCCAACCUGCCCUCUACUCGGGGAUAGCCUUUCGAAAGAAAGAUUAAUACCCGAUGGCAUAAUGAUUCCGCAUGGUUUCAUUAUUAAAGGAUUCCGGUAAAGGAUGGGGAUGCGUUCCAUUAGGUUGUUGGUGAGGUAACGGCCCACCAAGCCUUCGAUGGAUAGGGGUUCUGAGAGGAAGGUCCCCCACAUUGGAACUGAGACACGGUCCAA
rnacentral:rRNA from 1 species